UCCCUCCAGACUCCUUACCCUUCAAAUCUAAAGAGUGGUUUGAGUAGAGUCAAAAAGAGAGAGGUGGAAAAGUAAAACUGAAACGGACUUAAAAGUCUUUUCUGACAAACAAGUUCACUUCAAACAAAA
rnacentral:snoRNA from 1 species